rnacentral:rRNA from 1 species
CACAUGCAAGUCAACUUGACUGAAGGAGCAAUCUGACAGUAGAGUGGCGCAAGGGUGCGUAACGCGUAAGUAACUUGCCCCAAGGUAAGGAAUAACGUCGAGAAAUCGGCGCUAAUACCUCAUAAUGCAGCGGAUCCGCAUGGACAUGUUGUUAAAGGUUUACCGCCUUGGGAUAGGCUUGCGUCUGAUUAGCUAGUUGGUGUGGUAACGGCACACCAAGGCUACGAUCAGUAACUGGUCUGAGAGGAUGAUCAGUCACACUGGAACUGAGACACGGUCCAGACUCCUACGGGAGGCAGCAGUGAGGAAUAUUGGGCAAUGCUCGAAAGAGUGACCCAGCAACGCCGCGUGGAGGAUGAAGGUAUUCUAUAUCGUAAACUCCUGUGAGAGCAGACGAAAGACAGAUUAUUAAUCUGGAUGACUGUAUGCUCAGAGGAAGCCCCGGCUAACUACGUG